CUGAGAAMCCGAAAGAUCGAAUGGGGAAAUUCAUUCGCGUUUCGAUUGUCAGCGUUGAGCGGUUGUGUGACUGACGGAGUACGCUUCGUCCGCACCUUCAGUUCAUCGAACUGGCUUCGAACGCGUGCACUUUUCCCCUAGUAGGACGUCGCGAUCCGUUGGGCGUCGGUCUAAGGCUUGCGGUGGAGCUCGCGUGGACGUUUCGGCGUCCGCACGAACCCGCAAUGUCCCGAUCGACACGCUCGACGGUACAAAGAUGGCGCGGGGCCGCUAUUCAGUUAGCGUUCGACCUAUGGCAAGCACGUCCGGUGUUUGAUGGCGAUCAGACCUGGUCGGAUCCCGUCCUCGGACGACUGUUGGCUCGUAGUGUUCUCGAACAGACCUCGUUGAAACGCCGAUCUGCGACGCUAUAGCUUUGGGUACUUUCAGGACCCGUCUUGAAACACG
rnacentral:rRNA from 1 species